rnacentral:rRNA from 1 species
AACGUAGGAGACGAGCGUUAUCCGGAUUUACUGGGCGUAAAGCGUGUGCAGGCGGUUCGGCAAGUUGGAUGUGAAAUCUCCCGGCUCAACUGGGAGGCGUCGUUCAAUACUACCGGACUUGAGGGCAGCAGAGGAAGGUGGAAUUCCCGGUGUAGUGGUGAAAUGCGUAGAUAUCAGGAGGAACACCGGUGGCGAAGGCGGAUCUCUGGGCCUUACCUGACGCUCAGGCACGAAAGCGAGGGGAGCGAACAGG